UCAGUCGGUCGGAUGGCUGCCCGUCCGGUCUUGGGCGGGAGGAAAGUCCGGGCUCCACGGAAGAAUGAUGCCGGGUAACGCCCGGCGGGGGCGACCCCAGGGACAGUGCAACAGAAAGCAGACCUCCGAAGCGCCCGGGGCGUGACGGGAAGGGUGAAAGGGUGGGGUAAGAGCCCACCGCGCAUCCGGCAACGGAGACGGCACGGCAAACCCCAUCAGGAGCAAAACCGAAUAGGGACGCCAUGUCUUGCGCGAGCAGGACCAGCUUCUUUCGAGCGGGAGCGUCCGGGUUGGUUGCAUGAGGCGCCCAGCAAUGUGCGCCCCAGAUGAAUGGUCAUCACCGACGCUUGCGCGGCGGUACAGAACCCGGCUUACAGGCCGACUGACAUU
rnacentral:RNase_P_RNA from 1 species